rfam:Janthinobacterium agaricidamnosum NBRC 102515 = DSM 9628, complete genome
UGUCUCCUCCAACUCUUCCAAGAAUUGGAUUUAGCCCGCUUUCACCAGCGGGCUUUUUUUU